CAAAUCUCCAAGCAACAGCGUCUGAUCCUCAACAUGAGGGCGCAUUAAUGCCUUCUAUUGACGCCCACCCAAAGCGAUCACAUCUGCAUAGAAACAAUGGAAGCAGGCCACUGGGAAUAUCGGGUGGUCUUUGCACCCCCCCGGAAAAAAAUGAGGUCUCCUCAUGAAAUAUGAAGUGAUAAGCACUUGAGCUGAUAUGUGAGCACAGCUCAGGUUCUAUCAAUCACCCCAAAUAUCAUCAGCCACAGUCCGGGCUUCUGGUGACCUUUUCACAACACAUUAUGAUAGCCUCCACGCUGAGAAGGUCAGCCCUCAGCCGGGAGGAGGAAGACGGCACCAUGGGGACCUCCCAUCCAGGUGUUCAUUAAAAAAACCCAGAAGCAGGAAGUCACCACAAAACCCGACCAACACUGUAAAUAAUCGGAAGUAGGAAUUAGUCGAAUGCGAUGCCUUUAUUUUGAAAGUUGACCCUUGAACGCGGAAGUGAUGUUUGCAAUCACAGCUGAGGCUAAUUCGAAUCCUUCAAUUGUCAAAAUGAGAAAACGAACCACUUGCCCAACAAGUGUCAGAAGAGGACGAAUAUGACAUAUUUCAACCGUCUUUUCUGUCAGUUAUGUACAAGUUUGCUGUAUUUCAACACCAACUUUGGCACGUGACGUCAGCCUUAAUUAGCAUUGUGGAACAGGCAAUGGGCUGUUUGCUAACGCACACGGCUAACGGUGCACAAAGGACCACAGUUGACGAGGACCGCCGUCACAAACUUGUUCUCUGGUCGGAUACACACUCUUGAAGGAGAUGCUACUGCUGUGAGGGGGAAAAAAAAAACCGCCCAGCGGCCGUGUACAUCUGUGAGCUGCCAUGAUGGUCCCAGGCCAAGUUGAAGGCCUUUUUAGCAUCCGCGCCUCGGAGGCCAGCACUUCCAUCAUCUCCCGCAGACACGCCUGGACGCUGUCGUUAAAAGGUCUGUGCCGCUUUUGGCACGUUGUGAUGAAAACGAACUUGAUGUGGAAGUCAUUUUCUCCACCAGGACACCCAAUGAGAGCCCCCCACCCCUCCAACACCCUCCCCACUCAGGCUGAUUUCCAUGUCUAUUUUACAGCUGACUAAUGUGCUUUUACACUUGUGGCUGCCAAAAAAAACUCAUCUCCUUUCCGUCAUGGGAGCUGCUGCUUCUCCACAAAUAGGCUACUGUGUGUGUGUGUGUGUGUGUGUGUGUGUGUGUGUUUGCUGCCCCAACAGGGACAAAUGAGGUUAAUACAGCAAUUACCACGGGUAAUUUCAUGUCCUGUGCAAAGAAGUACAAGUUUUACACAUGCACAUAUUUUGUGCAUCAGUAAAAUACUUCCUGGUGUACUUUCUAGCCAAUUAGCACUCCUCAGCAUGAACUUUGUAUUCAUGUCAUGAUGUAUUGGUGUGGGAUGUCUAUCUCCGAUGUCACCGCAAACAUCUUUUGGCGUCCAUGUUUUUCUUUCAUAGCUUUCAGAUGAUUGGUGCUAGAUGUAAACUAUCCUCAAUCACAGCGUUUAUUGUUCCAGCUGUUGGGGGGGGGGGUUGUACUUUGGGUCGUCUGUCUCCUCUGAAAUGUUUUUUCAGCUGCGCCCAUCCAGAAGCUUAGUGAGCCUACUCAGACAAGAAGCACGACUGACCCCCCACCCCACCAACCAGGCAGCCAUUAUGUUGUCCGUCGGAGGCCUAAAUAGCCUGGCUGUCUCACAAGUGACACGUUUUAUCAAAAACACGUCGAAAGGGGGAGUAGAGGGGGGUGGGGGCACUGACAAUGUGGUUUUUAGCUCCUCAUUAUCCGUCACACAGAAGGCAUCAUCACGACGAGAAGAAGCGAGUACUUUUUCCAGUGUGUCGCCUUUUUGCCGUCCUUAUCAGGAAGAAGACGCUCCGACCGCCAAAAUAAACCUGCUACUCAUUUAUUAUCAGCGCCAAUGCAGUUUCCGCCUUUAUGGAAUACACGACCUUCUUUUGAAAAGGAUGCUGCCAUGCUUUCAUCAACGCAUCUUGGCGUGCAGGAAGUGACAGGAAGCGUAGAAAAAAGCAGGAUGAUGAAGGCCGCGGGCUGAAGGACACCUUGGGAUGGAGAUGCUAGCACGAGCAAGGCGAAGACGAUUAUGGCCACACCGCCAGCCGGCGGUGGUCUCCCAGCUUGAGGGUGUCCUCCUGCGAGCAUGUGAAAGUAUCCUUGGGUGAGGUACCCAAUUCCCAGUUCCCCACCUUCGACCUUGAAGGGAGCAAAGUGAACUAGCAAACUCUACCUACCAUCCAUGCUUUCUAUUUAUUGGCUCUUGAUUGCACAGCGUGUUAUUAAACGUCGCUCCAUUCCAGCCUGUUUCACGCUGAUGAGGCGUGGGCGGGAGAACUCCCACCAUCACUUAGCCAAGUCUCUUCCAAACGCUCCUUUACCAUGUGGACAAUCUGUUUGCAUUUGCGGACACGCUAUGUGUGUGUGCUAGCAAGUUGGAGUGCAAGUGGGCGUGAAAUGGAUCAAGUGCAAAGUGAGCAAUCAGUCAUUUUUUGCAGUUUUUAUUAAUGGCGUGGCUGACCUUGUUGGGCGUUAAGAGGGGCAGGUGCGUGGGAUCUUGUGAAGAUGCGAGGUGCCGCCGUUAUCAAACAUCGUGCUAGCAAAAAGAAGGGGCAACAACAAACGAGGAGAUGAGGCAAGAGGUGGCUUUGUGUUGUUGGCUUGGUUUGGGUGAUUAUUGCUUCCUGAAUUGUUUUUUCUCUUUUUGCUAACGUGAUGACUUUUUCGAGUGGGGCCGGCCUGCCAACGUGUACACAUUUAUGGUACUCGACUGUGCAAUAUGAAAUGUAUUGCAGCUUGUCAUUUUCCUGCCUUUGCUUUCAGCUUCAGUCAGGGUUCUGUCCCCGGGUUUAAGCCAUUAGCACCCUGGGACUGUUUGGGUGUAACAAUGUGUGUAACUUUCCAAUUUUACGUUCUUUUUUUAAAAGUUAUUUAUUUCACGAGGAGCUUUUUCUUCGUACUUAAGUUACUUCUUCGUACAAUUUUUUUCUCUUAACAUUAUGAGAAAUUUUAUUUUCUCAACCUUUUUCUUAAUAAUAAUGAUUCUAAUAACUAUUUGUUUUAUU